UACGUAGGGGGCUAGCGUUGCUCGGAAUCACUGGGCGUAAAGCGCACGUAGGCGGACUCUUAAGUCGGUGGUGAAAUCCUGGAGCUCAACUCCAGAACUGCCUUCGAUACUGAGAGUCUCGAGUCCGGGAGAGGUGAGUGGAACUGCGAGUGUAGAGGUGAAAUUCGUAGAUAUUCGCAAGAACACCAGUGGCGAAGGCGGCUCACUGGCCCGGUACUGACGCUGAGGUGCGAAAGCGCGGGGAGCAAACAGG
rnacentral:rRNA from 1 species